rnacentral:rRNA from 1 species
GUCGUGGGGCAGCAUGAAGUAGCAAUACUUUGAUGGCGACCGGCAAACCGGUGCGGAACACGUACACAACCUUCCGAUAAGUGGGGAAUAGCCCAGAGAAAUUUGGAUUAAUACCCCGUAACAUUGCGAUGUGGCAUCACAUUGCAAUUAUAGCUUCGGCGCUUAUUGAUGGGUGUGCGGCUGAUUAGAUAGUUGGCGGGGUAACGGCCCACCAAGUCUACGAUCAGUAGCUGAUGUGAGAGCAUGAUCAGCCACACGGGCACUGAGACACGGGCCCGACUCCUACGGGAGGCAGCAGUAAGGAAUAUUGGUCAAUGGACGCAAGUCUGAACCAGCUAUGCCGCGUGAAGGAUUAAGGUCCUCUGGAUUGUAAACUUCUUUUAUAUGGGACGAAAAAAGGUCUUUCUAGAUCACUUGACGGUACCAUAUGAAUAAGCACCGGCUAACUCCGUGCCAGCAGCCGCGGUAAUACGGAGGGUGCAAGCGUUAUCCGGAUUCACUGGGUUUAAAGGGUGCGUAGGCGGGCAGGUAAGUCAGUGGUGAAAUCCUGGAGCUCAACUCCAGAGCUGCCAUUGAUACUAUCUGUCUUGAAUAUUGUGGAGGUAAGCGGAAUAUGUCAUGUAGCGGUGAAAUGCUUAGAUAUGACAUAGAACACCUAUUGCGAAGGCAGCUUACUACGCAUAUAUUGACGCU